UACGUAGGGGCCGAGCGUUGUCCGGAGUUAUUGGGCGUAAAGCGCGCGCAGGCGGCCUCGCGCGCCCGACGUGAAAGCCCCCGGCUUAACCGGGGAGGGUCGUUGGGGACGGCGGGGCUUGAGGGCGGGAGAGGGUGGUGGAAUUCCCGGUGUAGUGGUGAAAUGCGUAGAGAUCGGGAGGAACACCCGUGGCGAAGGCGGCCGCCUGGGCCGACCCUGACGCUGAGGCGCGAAGGCGUGGGGAGCGAACGGG
rnacentral:rRNA from 1 species